AAUGUAAUGCUUACAACAUCAAUGCAUUGGAUCCCAUUAGACCUUUUCAUUUAGGUGCAUUUGGGCUAGAGUAGUACUGGGAUGGGUGACCUCCUGGGAAUUCCUAGAGUUUUACAUGC
rnacentral:rRNA from 1 species